CGCCAUUUUGUGUGAGGCGCUUUCCCAUUUUAGGCCGCGGCGGGGAGGCGGCGGGAGUGGUCGGCGCCUUUCCCGCGGGGUGCGGAGCGGCGGGGCCGAGCUCUGCACCCUCACUGAGGCGGCGAGCCCGGCGGGGGUGAGCUCUUUCUACUGCUCCGAGGAGACGACGCGACGUUUCGCCUUCACGGCCCUUCGAGUGAUGGCGGUGACGGUUGCUCCCGCUCGGCCGCGAUGGCGGAGCGCGCCCGGCCGGCCCCGGAAGUGAAGCGGUGACGGAGGGUCCCUCUGGCGGAGCUCGGCGGAACCGCUGGGGCCGGGAAGGCGCUGAGGCGUCAGGUAGGGAGUGCCGGGGAUCGCUCGGUCUGUCAGCCCGCAGUGGGAGGCGGAGAGGCCCCGGCCCUGCUGUGGAGCUGCGCUUUUCGGUGGGCUCGGAGGCUCUCGUUGCUCGCAGGCAGCGCUGAUGGUGUUGUGAAGCCAUCUGGGGGCUUCAGCUGCAGUUUUGUUUCUUUUCUUUGUACCUUAACCUUAAUCUGUGUUUAAGCUCUGUUGCGGCUUCCUCGUUUUUCCUCGAAGUAAUGAGAACCUGAUUUCAGCAGCUCGUUAUCAGCUAUGAAAUGUAUUUUUCAUUUGUUUAUCUUUGCAUUGAGAAGAUCUGUGGAUGUGGUUUUGAAGUUUUUGAAAGCCAUAAGGAGCUUCCUUGGUUUGUAAGUUAAACCUCGCUUCAAACCUGUGUUCUUUUUGAUUGAAUUCGAUGUUUUAGGAAGUGCAAAGGGAUUGCUGUAGGGAUUUUAUGGAGGUAAUAGCAUAGAUAAGCAGUAGUAAAGCUAAUGCAUGCCAAUAAUGCGUACUAUUGAUGACGGGACACUUCUAACAUGUUUGGAAGUGAACACAGCUGUGGCAUUCUGGCUUUUAGAUCUCCUCUGUAAAUAUAAGGAUGUGUAUAGUGUGUGUGUGUAUGUAUAUAUAUAUAUAUAUAAAGGCUUGGGGUGCUUGUUUGAAUGCUGAUGUAACUUCUGUGUUGUAGUUGAUGCUGUGGAUAAACUGAAGAAGAAGUUGUUUAGAAUACGCUGAAGUUAGUAAAGUAAGUUAGUAAAACUUAAAAUCAUAGAAUCAUAAAGUUGGAAAGGACCUACGAGAUCAUCAAGUUCAAUGGUCCUCCCAUUAUCCUUGCUGCCACAAGCCACUAAGCUAUGUCUUGUAGCUCCUCUUCAGAACUUCAGAAAGCCUGCUUUGAAUGUCAAGUUAUGGUAUGUCUGUGGGAUGUAAUAGUUGAAUCGUUCUAUGGUUUUUGGAGGCACACUUUGCACCUCUGUGUAAAAUAGAGUUCCACUCAAUAAAUAAGAGUUCCUGACAAAACUAAUCAGUCUUGUUUCUGAUUUCUAGCAGAAAAAUUCUGUCUGUCUGGGUGUAGCUGUUCUUGGCACAGGAAGUUCUUGGCACAUCACUCAUCUAACUACUAUGAGCAAAAGGAUUACUUUGUUCUCUGCAUAAAUGUGAUCUCCUACAGGGAAAAGUUUGUCACAAGUGGAGAAAAUGAGCAGCAGAAUUUCCUGUUGGGAGCCGCUCUGUCAUCAGCUGCUUUGUCAUCUUUCCAAAACUAACAUUUCAGUUUGUCUCAUAACUUAUUACUGAAUAUUAAAAGCAUUAAAAACUGCAAUUCUUGUUCUA